GCCCGACGCAGAGUCGCUGUAAUAAAUGCUCGGGAAGUUAUAGAGAGAAAGGAGACGAUCCCAGUGAUUAAUGCCAAAGCCCUGUUGCCUGGGGAGAGGGUGAUGUUUGACUUUCUUGUACAGCUGCAGUUUGUGUGGUGAAGGUGCUCCCACAAUGUGGUUGGAUUCCACCAUUUGCCAAUAUGCGAUUUGAACAAGGACUUCAGUUGUACAUUUUAAUAUUCUGGAUAAAAGUUAAAUACAUUAGGAUACUACAGGUGGACAUUCAGAUGGUAAUCUCAGUCAUUGUAACACCAAACUUUGAUUGAAUUAGUCAGUUCA